UACGGAGGGUGCGAGCGUUGUCCGGAAUCAUUGGGCGUAAAGGGCGCGUAGGUGGCGGGACAAGCGUGCGGUGAAAGCUCGGGGCUCAACCCCGCGUCGGCCGUGCGAACUGUUUUGCUUGAGCACUGUAGAGGCAGGCGGAAUUCCGGGUGUAGCGGUGGAAUGCGUAGAGAUCCGGAAGAACACCGGUGGCGAAGGCGGCCUGCUGGGCGAGUAGCUGACAC
rnacentral:rRNA from 1 species